GGGAACAGCAUGUGCAAAGGCACCGGGAUAGGAGGACAUGGCAUAUGAACCAGGGAUGGAGACGUGUCCAUUGCAGGAGAUGCAGGGGCCGGAUGGCAGGGGUGGGGAGGGGGGCUGCAGGAAGGAAGCCUCAGGGCAGGCACAUCUGGAUCACAGAAGAUGGGGCCACCAGGCUGAGGCACCUGCCCUUCAUCUUGGAGCCUCCUGAGGAGUAAAUCGCCCUCCCCAGACUCGGCAGAUGUUUGGUCAGGAGGCCAAUGCUCAGCUAUUUCAUCAUGAAAAUCCCGACCCAAGGCACAAUGCCCAGCCCAAAGCUGUAUCCAGUCAGUGUGGGCACCUGGCCCUGCUCGAGGGGAGCCACGGCAGAUCAGCCCUUAUGCUCACAGGAGCCUUUCUGGUGGGUCUGCCCUGGGAGACAAGUUCAGCUGUGGGGAGGAGACUGGCGCCUCAUGCCAGAGAGUUGAGGGUUGGCACCAACACAAGGACCCUGCCAAGCCACUCUAUCAUUGGGGGAUGGAGGCUUUGCUGACACCCAGUGGGGGUCUUUCCCCCACCUCCCUCACCCAUGGCUUUGCCUCAGUUCUUGUGUAGGUUCCCAGAAUAAAACCAUAAGCACAGAAAGACUGUGGUUAUUGGGGGAAAAAAGUAGGUAGGAAGAUAGUUAGCUGUUUCCUGUCUUCUCAAGAUAGGUAGAUAGGUACCUGCUUAUCUAAGUAGGUAAGUGGGUAGGUAGGUAGACAGGCAGGAAGGUAGGUGGGUAGACAGGUAGGUAGGUAGGUUCACAGGCGGGUAGGUAGAUAGGUAGGCAGGCAAGUAGAUAGGUGCACAAGUAGGUAGGUAGGGAGACGGGCAGGUAGGUAGACAGGUAGGUAUGUAGAUAAGUAGGUAGGCAGGUAGGUAGAUAGGUAGUUAGGUAGGCAGGUAGAUAGGUAAGUAGGUAGGUAGGUAGGUAGACAGGCAAGUAGGUAAGUAGGUAGGCAGGUAAAUAGGUAGCUAGAUAGGCAGGUAGAUAGGUAGGUAGGCAGGUACAUAGGUAGUUAGGCAGGUACAUAGAUAGGUAGGUAGAUAGGUAGGCAGGCAGAUAGGUAGGUAGGCAGGUAGGUAGGUAAGUAGAUAGGUAGGCAGGUAGGUAGGUAAGUAGAUAGGUAGGCAGGUAGAUAGGUAGUUAGAUAGGUAAGCAGGCAGGUAGAUAGGCAGGUAGGUAGGUAGGCAGGUAGAUAUGUAAGUAGGUAGGCAGGUAGAUAGGCAGGUAGGUAGGUAGGCAGGUAGGUAGGUAUGUAGGUAGGCAGGUAGGCAGGUAGAUAUGUAAGUAGGUAGGCAAGUAGAUAAGCAGGUAGGUAGGUAGACAGGUAGGCAGGUAGGUAGGUAUGUAGGUAGGCAGGUAGGUAUGUAGGUAGGCAGGCAGGCAGGUAGAUAGGUAGGUAGAUAGAUAGGCAGGUAGGUAGGUAGGUUGACAGGUAGGUAGGUAGCAUGACUACAGGGAGAUGAAGCCUGCUUUCAACAGCGCCGCUGCAGAACACAUCAGAUAGAAAAAGAAAACAACCUCGCUUCACAUUAAUGGAUGAGGCGCAGUCACGGUGGGUCUGCGCACCUCACUGGGAAGUGACCGUUUUCUACCCCACCAUUGUUUCCUAU
rnacentral:lncRNA from 1 species